UACGGGGGGGGCAAGCGUUGUUCGGAAUUACUGGGCGUAAAGGGCUCGUAGGUGGCCAACUAAGUCAGACGUGAAAUCCCUCGGCUUAACCGGGGAACUGCGUCUGAUACUGGAUGGCUUGAGUCCGGAAGAGGUGAGUGGAACUCCGAGUGUAGCGGUGAAAUGCGUAGAUAUCUGGAGGAACACCGGUGGCGAAGGCGGCAUCCUGGACCGGCAUUGACGCUGAUGAGCGAAAGCCAGGGGAGCAAACGGG
rnacentral:rRNA from 1 species